CUGGCCUUCCUCUGUUCAGUAGCCUAAUAGGAUCAUCGUUGCUAUGAUACCUCUUUUCUGGGAUUCCAUUUGCAGGAAACAAUUAUCAGUCUGCCCAUCUAUGAUCUGUUUGUAUGAAGAAGAGGAAGAACCCAAGCAAAGUGUCCCAAGUUUCCUGCUGAGAACUUCUCCUCUGCUCUGAUGCAUGCAGCACAGGGGGUUGUGGGAAUAUCUGCUCCUACAUGCUGCAUGCUAAAGGACCUUUCUCCCCCUAUUCCUAUCAAAUAUAGCAAAGGGCACAGUCCUAAACAUCCAAUUCACAGAAGGCCCAGCUUAGUAACUCUCCCCAGGGAAUGUUGGUUUGUACAGCCCUCUAACAGCAAAAAGGCUGUGUGGGAAGGAUAUAGGGACGUGAAUCUGUGCCAAGGCCAUUGUCUGCUACUGGGGUAUAGCUCUGGGUGCCUCUUCGGGGUCCCAUUUCUCAGGGAAAAUGCCUUCAGGGAAUUGGCUGGCAAGGAUACCUGUGUGUCUUCUUACAGCAUUCCCCAACUUUGGAAUGGUUCCCCAACCUGGACCUGCUAUCCUAGGUAGGGAGAGAGAGCCAACACAGCGGUGGACCAUAGCACAGGGCAUUGGUGCUGCCCCUGUGCAAAGAGAAACCACGACCAGAAACCAGCAGAGAACUCCGCCAUGCUGCAAAGGCUGUGCUGACUGCUUCUCUUCACAGUUGGUCUGUGGACCUUGGGGCCACAGGCCUUCUAACCUUACUUUGUAAAACACGAUGUCAGAGCAGCCUCUGUGCAUUGAACUCAGCAGAGUAUAGGGGGAGAAGGACUUCAUGGAAGAGAUCAUCAAAAGCUUUCAGCAGCAGACGGAGGGUGAGAUUCUAGUCUGAUGCUUCCUAGAUGUGUUCCUUUAGAAAAGCCUCUUAUCUGAUCUUCAUUUUCUGCAUCUUCACGGUGUGGCAGGCACUUGGAAAGAGCAGCUAUUUUAAAAGCAUGUAAUGUCACUACAUAGCUCAGAUGGAUACACACCCCAUAAUCCUUUUAUUUAUUUAAGAGUCAAGGAUUCUGGGUUCCAAAGAAAGCGGUCCCUUAUUCUAUCUACCUAGCUGCAAGCAGAUUCUAGAACAGAGAUGACAGAAGCAAGAAAGGAAUGUCUUGCUGAUCUUGAAUUUCUGAUCCCCUUGCCUCGGCUCCCCGAUACAGGGAUGAUAGGUGUGUGUCUUCAGGUCAGGCUGAUUUCCCCUUUCUCUUGGAGCUGGGCACUCCUUUCCACUCAGAGACAGCAGCAUGAAUCCUUCCGGGUCCACCAGCAUGAGGGCGGAAGUGUCUACCCAGAAGAAACCGUUAGGCCCAGAUAAUACCACAGCCACCAAGGUGAGAUGCAGCUGCUCUCCUGCUCCACCCUCCUCAGGCAGGGCCUCCUUAGGCUGAGAGCUGAUCACCCGCGGAGAAAACACCACAGCCCCUCCACAAGUGCAAAGCAAGGAGCUGCACCUGGGCUCUUUGCCCCCAUGGGGCCCUGCUCCCAGGGAAGGAGAAGAGUGGAAUACAGAAACCCAGAGCUGCGCUCAGCAAUCCGGAGUAUGUGUGGGAUGUAUUCUUCUCCUAUCCUCCCUUCCACCUCUGUAGAAGAUCACCAGAAACCAAAGUGGAGUCAGGCAGGCUCAUACACACCCAGCUCUUCUGACAACCAAGGGGAAGAGAAAGUGGCUGUCUUAGUAGCGCUCUCUCCCCUCUCCAGGGUCUAGCUGGCUCAGAAGGGCUCACUUCCUCCACACUCAACCUGGGUUUCCCUUUUACACAAUCUAAUAAUCUAAACCAGCUAAGCAAGAGACUUUGGAACACUGGAGAUGCAGCUUGGGCCAACAAAGGGCGGGAGAGGAGACGCCUGUGUACACGGGCAGCCCUUACACACAGGCUGUCAACAAGUAUCAGAUGAACAACUAUGUGGAAAGGUGAAAGAAGGAAGAGCAAAAGCUGACUGGCAGGAUGUGAACGGAAGUCAGAGUCACUCAACGAUUACAUUGCCACCAGCUCUGGGUCCUAGGGGAGAGGACUUCAUGGAAGAGAUCAUCAAAAUCUGUUGGGCGCAUCGGGCUCCAAGAGCCUCCUCUGACCAUGGCCUGCCUCAGGAAAUGAGUGUCAACAGUCUUGCAGAUGGGAACCAAACUUCUGGGUGACUGACUACCCAAGAAAAAGCAAGUCCAGCCCCACCAGACCCUGCCCUCCCUCUACCCCAAUUCUGAGACUCCAGGCCUCACCCCCUCCUCCCCGGAGACUAUCAACAGGAAGUUAAAUCGGCUGGAACACUCUGUUCCCUUGACAUUUUUUGUUUUAAAUCUGCAGCUGUGUUAAGGCUUCAUGAAUCCUCUCUGGCUCUGCAUCUUGGGUCCAUAUCUUUGCCUGUCUGGUGCUUUUCCUCCCUCAUCCAUGCACAGAAGGCUGAAACUAUGGAGAAAAUUUGGCACCAAGAAUUGAGGCUAUAUAACGGCAUGAGAGCAGGCAAAUGAGAAUGAAGGAACGGUUUGCAAAAAGGGAGUCAGGUGCUGAGAAAACACCAGGGGCUGCGGUGCUGGCUGCUGGAAUGCUAAGGAUGUUGUUGGUCUGGCUUGGGGAUCAUUACUGAAGAAGGACCGUCAAGACUGUAAAGGAACCCAACAUAAACUCCCUCCUCGUUCACCCAUGGUGCCCACCCCUUAUCAGUCACGCGUGGGUGUGUAUCUUCUCUCCUAACAUCCUAUGCUGCCAGCUCAGCAUACCGCAGCCGCCCACCCGGAUUCACGCGUACAUUCAGGAAGCAGUUGGCGUGGAAGUGAACGAAGCGUCCUUCCCUCUGUCCUUUAAUCUCAACCUAGCUUGUCAGAGCGUAGAAGAAUGUCCCCCAUUCGCUGUAGAAGCCUGUCCAUUGCUGCGCAUGUGCAAAGCAUCAGUGCUGGUGCGGAAGACCACCCAGGAAAGUGGCUUAUCAUUGGUUCCUCUGGGUAUGCCUCCUGUGUAAAGCCUUAGUGACCAUGGCCCCUCAGACUCGGGUAUGCCUCCUGUGUAAAGCCUUAGUGACCAUGGCCCCUCAGACUCGGGUAUGCCUCCUGUGUAAAGCCUUAGUGACCAUGGCCCCUCGGACUCAUGUGUGAGAGAACACACACACCUCAACUGUGUCCUAAAUAUCUCUAUAACCACACUAAGAAAUCCAGACGAUGCUGCAAAACCCAGAUGCAGAUCUUUAAUUAGCUACUGGUCAUCCUGGGCUUGCUCCCUGCCCACCUCCUUUUCCUUCCUCUCCUUCCUUUCUGCCUUUCUUCUCUUUUUUUCUACUCCUUUUCUUUUUCCCUUUCUGACUCUGAAGAUCAAAACUGUAGCAUCACACAUGGUAAGUAAACAGUCUGCCAAAUUUGAUAUGCAAUAAAUUUUAAACCAUAUACAUAUGAUACACACACACACACACACUGUGUAGCCCUGGCUGCCCUGGAACUCACUCUGUAGACCAGGCUGGCCUCAAACUCAGAGAUGGGCCUGCCUCUGCUGGGAUUAAAACUUUGUUUUAUUUCUUCAGAGUCUUACUAAACUGCCUAAGCUCACCUUGACCUUCCUGUCUCAGUGUCAUCAAUGCUAGAAUUCAUUACCAUUCAUUUUUACUCUCAGCCCAAACAUUGUAUUUUAUUUUUAAUUAUAAGUAUUUAUUUGUGUGUGUGUGUGUGUGUGUGUGUGUAUGUGUGUGUGUGUCACACUGAUCAACACAGUACAUGUGUAGAAGUCCGAGGAAAACUAAGGGAGCUGGUUUUCUCCUUCUACCAUAUGGGACCCAGGGAUGGAACUCAGGUUGGCCGACUGAACCAGAAGCUUCUUUACCCACUGAGCUGUCCCGCUGGCCCCCAAGCCCCAUGGUUUAAAAAGUAAAGCCUACAGUUAGCAUCAAACCCCACAGUGAAAAACUGACAGCUUUCUCCACAAAGUCAGCAGCAAGGAGAGGGGGCUCCGUCUUUCCACUCGUGUUCAACAAGGCACCGGGAGUUCUAGUCAGAGGAGUCCGCAGGAGGAGAUAACACACAUGGGAACUGGAGAGGAGGAAGAAACCAUCGCUUUCAGAUGGCGUGAUUUUGUUUGUAUAAAACCCUGAAGGUCCGGUAAGAAAACACUGCUGGAAACAAUAAACAGAUCCAGCAAUGCUGCAGGAUAGAAUAUUAACACAGAGCUCAGUUUCUGAAGGCAAGAAAACAGUGUUAUUUGAAAUGGCAUAAAAAUGAACUGCGUAGGAUGGAGCCGGCUUAAAAGGAGGGAAACACUGGACACAGAAAACCACAAACAUUGAAGGAAUUAAAGAAAGCUAAAUAAAGAGAAAGACAUUAUGUGUUCAUAGCAUAGAUGGGAUUGUUACAUUGCUAAAGCAGCCACAUUUGCCAAAGCUAUCCAGGUGUUCAGUGCCAUCCUUGUCAAGGUUGCAAUAGUACUGGAAAACAGACAGGAAGGAAGAAAGGAGGGAGGGAGGGAAGGAAGGAAGGAAGGAAGGAAGGAAGGAAGGAAGGAAGGAAGGAAGGAAGGAAGGAAGGAAGACUUGCAAAAUUUAUAUGGAAGCUCAAGGGACUCUAAAUUACCAAAGCCUUGGAAGUUGCCGGCCUCAGAUUUCUUGAAUUCGAAGCAUAGGACAAAGCUACAGUAAUCAAAACAAUGUGAUUAUUGGCACAAAACCAGACACACAGACCAAGAGAACAGAAUAGAGUUAGAAACAGACCCUCAUGUCUACGUCACAUGAUCUUCAGCAAGGGAACUGGCGUUAUGUGUGGAGAAAGGGUGGACCUGGUACACAGCAAUGGAAAAGCCACACGUUCACGUGCUCAAGAAUGAAGGUGGCCACGUGUCCGUUCUGUAUAAAAAUCAAUCCCAACUGAAUUAAAGGCUUGGCUUUUUUGGCACAGACCUUCAACUCUAGUGACUCUAGAAGACACAGGUAGGAGGUUGACAUGGUCAAGGCCCAGCUGGACCACAUAGCUGAAAACUCUGCUUCAAAAUGAAAGGUAAAGGAAAUCUGACUCCACAGCUCAGUGGCAGGUACUAGAAGCCCUGGGUUCAACCACUGGUAUAUACAUACAUCAUACAUGCAUCAUACAUACAUACAUACAUACAUACAGGGGUAAAACUGAGCUCUACCAUGAAAAUGUGUGCCAGUUUAGCAAUGUUUUUUGUUUGUUUGUUUGUUUUUAAUGUAGCACCAAAAUGGCAGAAAACAGUGGUAAAAUAGACACAGGGACUAACUACAUAGACCUGGAAACUCUAGAACGUUAACAGGAAUAAUACGGUGAAAGUCAAGCUAUGCCACUGAAAAUAAUUAUGUAUCUGAUAAAAGUGUAAUAUAAAGCAGUUCAUGUUUUAUAGAUAUAAAAUAUUUAUGUAAAAUAUACAAAAAAUACAAAAUAUAAAAUAGGAAUAUAAAAGAGAAUAUAUAAAAAAGUUUUUAAAAACCUAAAAAAAGAAAAAAAUAGCCUCUCCUACAAUUCAAUAACACACAACAACAAACCCACUAAUUCAGUUUAAAAGUAGCUGGAAGGACCUGGGUGGACAGCUCCCUUAAGAACGCGUGCAAGUCUAUGAAAGGAUGUCUGAUGCCACUAAUCAUUAGAAAAACAGCAGAAUCUCGAUGAUCUAUGACUUCACACUCAUUUAAGAUGGUGUCUGCUGAAGACCACAAUUCAAAAGACAGCUGUUGGGGGCACAACAUGAAGGUCCUUGUGCCCAGAGAUCUCCAGGAAAA